rnacentral:rRNA from 1 species
GCAAGUGACCAUAACCUGUUGAAAACACCGGUUCUCGUCUGAUCACCACAGUAAAGCAAUGUUGAACACGGUCAGCUCUUCACUAUAAAAAUUUAAAUUUGGAAAAGAGCAAUAUACAUCACGUGAA